rnacentral:rRNA from 1 species
AACGGGGGGGGCUAGCGUUAUUCGUCGUUAUUGGGCGUAAAGGGUGCGUAGGUGGCGCCAUAAGUCAGGUGUGAAAUCUCGGGGCUCAACCCCGAAACUGCACUUGAUACUGUGGUGCUCGAGUACUGGAGAGGAGAUUGGAAUUUACGGUGUAGCAGUGAAAUGCGUAGAUAUCGUAAGGAAGACCAGUGGCGAAGGCGAAUCUCUGGACAGUUACUGACACUGAGGCACGAAGGCCAGGGGAGCAAACGGG